rnacentral:misc_RNA from 1 species
GAGCGCCGGAUGCUGGGAAACUAGCACGUCCAUGGCGUGGAGCAGGGGAAAAGCUAACGGGUGCGUUCGUAUUAUAAGGUUAGCCAGUUUUUACUGGUUGACCUUUUU